GAUGUCUCUGAGGAGAGGGGUGGAGUGAUCUAGCCUGAGGGUGAUUUCCCUGUGAGGAGAAUCUCCUGAGCAGGCAAGAGAGGGGAGCUGCACUGACUGGGUGCUACCUCAGGAACAGACUGCGGCUACCUACCAUUGCUGUGAGGGAGCUGAUGCCAGGACUCGGCUACAGAGAGCUAUUAAUUGACAGCUGAGCUGUAGGAGAGAGGAGGGAACACUCUUCCUGUGUUUGUGGUGCUGAACUGCAGGGAACCUAUCAUCCGGGACCAGAGCAGAAGAUACAGGCAACAACCCCCAGAGGUUGUAUUUCUGGAGUCUCCCCUCUAAGGAAAGAGUUGCAAAAGAUUAAAGAAAGAAUGAACAGCUGCAGUGAGGAGCCUUACCGCCGUAACCAGCAAGAGCAAGCCAGGCCAGUUGCCAGCAUUAACAAGAGAUCUUAGUGGCACCAGUCCUUCCAGAGAGACAGAGCCCCGAGGGACAGAUGGAGGGACAUCUGUUUCUAAUAAAGUUUCUGGUGCACCAGGCCGUUUCAGAGCUCCCUGAGGAGUAAUGAACACUGGGGAACAGAGCCAGAAUUCCUCCAGUAUGGAGCCAAGCCAAACAAUCAACUCAGCAAAGCCUGGAGAACCAAAGACAAGAGGAGAAGGCAAGUGAGGGAGGGGCAGAGAAGAAAUAGAGAAUGGAGUGAACAGGCUAAAAUAGAAAGAAAGAAAGAAAGAAAGAAAGAAAGAAAGAAAGAAA